UACGUAGGGACCAAGCGUUGUCCGGACUUACUGGGCGUAAAGCGUGGGUAGGUGGACGCGGAUGUGCCGUGUGAAAGCGCCGCAGUUAUGGCGGCGAGGUCACGGUAAACACCGGGUCUUGAGGCGCGCAGAGGGACGUGGAAUUCCGGGUGUAGUGGUGAAAUGCGUAGAUAUCCGGAGGAACACCAGUGGCGCAAGCGGCGUCCUGGGCGCGACCUGACACUGAGCCACGACGGCGUGGGGAGCAAACAGG
rnacentral:rRNA from 1 species